CCAUAUUAAGAUUGGUCCUCAUUCAUCCAAGUGUCUGAGUUAGGUGCUAAGUCAUAUCCCAUAUUAAGAUUGGUCCUCAUUCAUCCAAGUGUCUGAGUUAGGUGCUAAGUCAUAUCCCAUAUUAAGAUUGGUCCUCAUUCAUCCAAGUGUCUGAGUUAGGUGCUAAGUCAUAUCCCAUAUUAAGAUUGGUCCUCAUUCACCCAUAUAGCUGGCAAGCAAGGAGAACCCAGCAUCCUCAGAUGAACUGAGACUAAUCCUGUAGUUGAGGAAAGACUCGAAUUUCAAUUCAAAAGACGCAUUCAUAUUUAUCAGAGAGUUGCACAAGUGUCCCCAUUUGACCCUAUGAGUGGUGAACGCAGUAAGGAGCAACCUAACAAUGCUCAGAUGAACUCAGACACUUAGGUAGCGCCCCAAAUACCACUAUUGCCUUUAUAGUGCACUUUUUUGGGGGCCCCGCUGACCCUGGUCAAAUGUAGUGGACUAUAUAAGGAAUAGGGUGCCAUUUGGGAUGCAGCCUUAAAUACAUCACCAGGUCAAUAUGUGAGGAUAUAUGCAGCAUCACAUCAUGUACCAUAUAUAAAUUAUAUUAAUCUACCCCCUAUAGCUUCAGGAUGACAACACAUCAUGUACCAUAUAUAAAUUAUAUUAAUCUACCCCCUAUAGCUUCAGGAUGACAACACAUCAUGUACCAUAUAUAAAUUAUAUUCAUCUACCCCCCUAUAGCUUCAGGAUGACAACACAUCAUGUACCAUAUAUACAUUCUAUUCAUCUACCCCCCUAUAGCUUCAGGAUGACAACACAUCAUGUACCAUAUAUACAUUCUAUUCAUCUACCCCCCUAUAGCUUCAGGAUGACAACACAUCAUGUACCAUAUAUACAUUCUAUUCAUCUACCCCCUAUAGCUUCAGGAUGACAACACAUCAUGUACCAUAUAUAAAUUCUAUUCAUCUACCCCCCUAUAGCUUCAGGAUGACAUCACAUCAUGUACCAUAUAUAAAUUAUAUUCAUCUACCCCCCUAUAGCUUCAGGAUGACAACACAUCAUGUACCAUAUAUAAAUUAUAUUCAUCUACCCCCCUAUAGCUUCAGGAUGACAACACAUCAUGUACCAUAUAUACAUUCUAUUCAUCUACCCCCUAUAGCUUCAGGAUGACAACACACCAUGUACCAUAUAUAAAUUAUAUUCAUCUACCCCCUAUAGCUUCAGGAUGACAACACAUCAUGUACCAUAUAUAAAUUAUAUUCAUCUACCC
rnacentral:lncRNA from 1 species